rnacentral:lncRNA from 1 species
CAAAGUUCCAUGAGGGUAGCAUACACAUGCCCAAUCCAGGAAACUGCCUGGUGGUCCUGCCCACUAGAAGGGUUUUCUGUCCCUGGUACCGGACACACAUUCCUGAAGAUGAGACAGAAUCAGAAGAUCCUGCAGUGCCGUUGUUCGAUCUUGGUGAGACCAGGAGCUUGUCAGAGUUCCAAAGCCUUGAUGGGAUGCUGAAGUAGGCAGACCUGGUUUAAAUCCAGCUCUACAACUAAUAGCUCAAUGACCUGGAGGAAAGGUUCACCCUGAGCUCAACAUCUGUUGCCAACCUUCCUCUUUUUUUCCUUUUCUUUUUUCCUCCCCAAAGCUCCAGCGCAUGGUUAUGUAUCUAGUUGUAAGUCCUUCUAAUUCUUCUAUGUGAACCACCACGACAGCAUGGCAACUGACAGAUAAGUGGUGUGGUUCCACAACUGGGAAAUAA